rnacentral:miRNA from 1 species
UACCUCAAAAUUCCGCCACAGUCUGUUUCAUCAGUAAAGAAUCAUCAGGCGGUACCAUCAUACCGCCUGAUGAUUCUUUACUGAUGAAACAGACUGUUGCGGAAUUU